ensembl:snoRNA SNORA62 Small nucleolar RNA SNORA62/SNORA6 family
UUUGCAUAUGGUUGGAGCUUGGGGCCGAGGCUGUCGGCUGGCCGAUGAAUGCCCAAGUGCAGUAUGCUGCGUGAGGGCAAGUCUUGCCAACACCACAAGGGUCUCUAGCCCAGUGAGUAGACUUUGGUAGUAAUUCCUGUUGCAAGU